rnacentral:rRNA from 1 species
ACGGGUGCAUAACACGUGAGAAACCUGCCUCAGUCUCUGGGAUAACAGUUGGAAACGACUGCUAAUACCGGAUGCCGUCACACCAUCACAUGUUGGAGUGACGAAAGAUUUAUCGGAUUGAGAGGGUCUCGCGGCCUAUCAGCUAGUUGGAGAGGUAACGGCUCACCAAGGCAUCGACGGGUAGCUGGUCUGAGAGGAUGAUCAGCCACACUGGGACUGAGACACGGCCCAGACUCCUACGGGAGGCAGCAGUGGGGAAUCUUGCACAAUGGGCGAAAGCCUGAUGCAGCAACGCCGCGUGCGGGAAGAAGGCCCUAGGGUUGUAAACCGCUUUCAGUAGGGAAGAAAAUGACGGUACCUACAGAAGAAGGUGCGGCCAACUACGUGCCAGCAGCCGCGGUGACACGUAGGCACCAAGCGUUAUCCGGAUUUAUUGGGCGUAAAGAGCUCGUAGGCGGUUCGGUAAGUCGGGUGUGAAAACUCUGGGCUCAACCCAGAGAGGCCACCCGAUACUGCUGUGACUAGAGUGCGGUAGGGGAGCGGGGAAUUCCUGGUGUAGCGGUGAAAUGCGCAGAUAUCAGGAGGAACACCAGCGGCGAAGGCGCCGCUCUGGGCCGUAACUGA